AGUGAACGCUGGCGGUAGGCCUAGCACAUGCAAGUCGAACGGCAGCACAGUAAGAGCUUGCUCUUACGGGUGGCGAGUGGCGGACGGGUGAGGAAUACAUCGGAAUCUACUUUUUCGUGGGGGAUAACGUAGGGAAACUUACGCUAAUACCGCAUACGACCUACGGGUGAAAGCAGGGGAUCUUCGGACCUUGCGCGAUUGAAUGAGCCGAUGUCGGAUUAGCUAGUUGGCGGGGUAAAGGCCCACCAAGGCGACGAUCCGUAGCUGGUCUGAGAGGAUGAUGACGCGCACUGGGAACGGAGGACCGGCCCCGACCCCAAGGGGGGGCAGGGAGGGGGAAUUUGGGAAAAGGGGGGAAAGCCUGGCCCAGCCAACCCGGGUGGGUAAAGAGGGCCUUGGGGUGGAAAAGCCCUUUUGUUGGGAAAAAAAAGCAGCAGGUUAAGACCCGGCUGUUCGGACGGUCCCCAAAGAAAAAGCACCGGCUAACUUCGU
rnacentral:rRNA from 1 species